ensembl:lncRNA
CUUCGAAACCGCAUGAGGGGCUUAAGUGCCACGAAAAAGGGUUAAAAUAGCGAAACGCAAGUCAGGUUAGCAAUCCACUCACCAUUCUGGCAACACUCGCUAGCUAGCUUACACUAGCUGGAUCCAGUCAGGCUGGGACUCCGUUGAUUGCUAGCAAGCUAAUAAUAACACGCUAGCUACCAUUGCUAACCUAACAAAGAGCAUAUUUCUAGACUAGGUUUUAACUAGUUGACUAGCUAAGCCAGAUAUCCAGUUAGAUUGUUUUGCCACAAGUUAUGACGUGGAAUUGUGCCAAAUGUUUAAUUGACCAUAAAAGUGGUUGUAUUUGCUUGAUACCUAACGGGACAGUUUACUAAUAAAGUUAACAAACCACUAGGAAUGUGUCCCAUGCGACCUCUCAUCUGCUCGGUCUCCGCGGAACGGGAAACCAAAAAUGUCUGCACGUGUUCCGCACCCCGCACAGGAAGCUAGCUGAUAGUGUGUGUGCCUUACUCUAACGAGGUGUGUGUGCCUUACUCUAACGAGGUGUGUGUGCCUUACUCUAACGAGGGGUGAGUCCCAAAUGGUGUUAUUUGGAGUGUAGUAACUCGUGUGUUUGUGAGAUAUGUGUUGGCUUUCUGUAAGGUUCCACGUGUUGAGCUGUAAGAGUCAGACAUUUUAGACACAUUGAGAAAGAACACUUUCAGUGUCAACAAUGGAGAGAGUAGUCGAAUGUCUUGCUUUGCAUGGAUCGGCCUUUUUUAGUUGGCUAUGUGUAGUUAGUUACCCUAUACAUUAUUCUGUCAGUGCCGGCUUGCUCACACAAAGAGCCCAUCAAUUUCACCAUGACUUGGACGUUUCCAUUGCCGCAAUGAAUGAUAAAACAGAUCGUCCCAUCUAACAACUUUGGAUACCUCGUGGUGUCCCAAAUGAUACCCAAUUCACUACAUAGUACACUAGGUGGCCUGGUCAAACGUGGCGUCACUGUACAGGGAAAGGGUUCCAGGUGGGACAGAUGUCUUUUUCUUUUUAAUGCCUUUAUUUGGGAGACGUGAUCUGUUUUGGAUCAACAGUAAAACACAGACCAGAAAUGGUCAUGCCGAAUUUGGACUUCUUCCUGUAAUUAGUGUUUUUUUGUUCUUCAUUCCUGUGGUAGUGUUCAAAUCCUUGUUUGCGUCUGAGGUUGAGCUAUAAACAUCUUUCAUCUUUAAAAAGCCUUAUGAAAUGGUGUCUGUAAAGCUGAGGGGGCGGUCCAGGGGACAGACGGG